AAGAGUCAAAGGGAUGGUGCACCCCUAUAACCGCUAGUGAUAGCUGAUGGCGCCUGUUAGAAA
rnacentral:ncRNA from 2 species